GGUGUUGUAGCUCAGUGGUAGAGCACUUUUCUAGCAUGUAUGGGCCCUGGGUUCGAUCCUCAGCACCACAU
rnacentral:tRNA from 1 species